AAAAUAGACAACAAAGUCCCACGUUUUAGGACAUCCAGAGCAAACGGUAGUUUCUGUUGGAAGAAAACAGCUUUUAUGCUCCAACGUCUCUCGAUUGACAGUCGUGGAUGAGGACGAAUAAACGAUUUGGAUGCAAUAGCCGUUUGAUUUUUGUUUUUGUAAGUCGAUUUCUGCGUUUUAGAUAAUAGUGCCGUUGAUUUCAUUAGCAUAUAUACAGGUUGAGGAGGGUGUGGCGAGCAGAGGAAGGGCAAGAGGACUCAGCUAUUUGCAACAUGAUGCAGGCCAAAUAUCCAAUCAAAAUUAUUUUGGCGUUACCAGGUUCUGCUUUGGGAGCCUGGAUGCGGGUCCGGGUUCGGGUCCAUUCUCAGUGCGGCUCUGGCCAGUCAACAAAGCCAUGGAGUAUUUAGUUUUGUGGUCAAUGAAUAUUGGCUUUGCUGAUGUUUGCUAAUAUUUGUUGAUCUUUGCUCUCAUAAUCCAUAGGACAUAUCAUUACCAAGGCAUAUGAAAGAAACGGGCAGGGCAGUAGCUAUUCUGUGUCCAAAGAAGUGAGGGUUUAUUAAUUUUAAAGUUUUUUAUAGAUUCAUUGAUACCAUCCACUACAUUAUUUAUAUAUAUAGAUAUAUAUUUUAAUA